GAAAGACAGUGGAAUGAGAUAUUAUUACCCUAUGCAUGUAUGACUACAUUACUGGAGUGACUCUGCACCAUGUAGGUCCAGAAGAAUGAGAAAUUGUGCUCCAUUUGUAUACAAUGUGUCAAAAUGCAUUCUACAGUCAUGUAUAACUAAUUAGAACAAUUAAAAAAAAUUAAAAGGGGAGCUAAGGUCUACAAAAAGACAAAUAGACCAAGAAAAAAGGUGAAACUUCUUGAAACAUGCAAAGUGGCCACUAGAAGCAACAGGUGGCAAACAAUAGCCACUACCUAUACAUACUUUUCAGUGACCUUCAGAGUCUUCAGAGGACUGGAAUUCCUGACCUCAUCUAAUGGGGAUUAGGAUUGUGAUUUUUUUAACUAGCAAAGGGGUAGGUAACCCUGGAAGGCCACUCUGUUCAAAUAAAACAUCAGUUAACACAAGACCGAGUGCAACUGUGCCCAUUGGGGCCAUACAGGUUCUAAAUCUUGCAGCCAACACAGACAGGAGCACUAAGUCAUAGGAAACUCACAAGAGGGGAGUUGCAGCCGUCUCUGAAGGAGUAAAAUGGUAAAGGCAGCAGGGGCACUAGAGGACAGCCAAGGAAAAAAACCCAUAGGGACUGUGGAACUCCAAGGACUGAGGAGUGGGUAUGUUUUGUUUCCACUCAAAUUGGCCUGUUUUUCUUUGUUACUCCCUGGGGUUUGUCCACAGGAUUUCCUGAUAAUUUGAUAAGGUGUGUUACUUUGCCUUCCUCUGUUGUAUUUGCUAGACCACAGUUUCCUAACCAAUGUGCCUGUGAUUAGCACACUAACACAUUAAUUCCUUUGGUCCUCCAUACCGUCUUCUAGGGCUUAGGGCGCCAGUCACCUCUGGCUAUAAGCAGCCUUACUGAUUAACCCCAAUGUGCUGGGUCGAUAUUACACUUUCUAGAUGUGCUGUAAAGGGAAACAUGGUGGGAAGCUCUGCAACCGACUUGGUGGUCAGUGACAUUUAACAUGAUGAGGGCAAGUGCAGAGCCAUGAGCAUUCUAGACUGUGGGGUCAACUUAAAGGCAGUUAUCAAAGUUCAUGUUUUAAUUACUUGUUCUGGCUCAAGUUACUGUUUCUCUUCCUCUUCCCCACCCCAACACUAUUAAUUCCCAACUUCUGUCAACAAUGUGGUCUUUUCCAGAGAGGUAGAGAACCCAGAGUCAGAGGCUGUAAACCAAUUCAGUCUAUCUUUCAGCAAUGAGCAAAGGAAGCCCUUACCUGGUUCGUGUGAUCAGGGAAAGCUCUGAACUAUUUGAGUGGGUGUGCUAUGUUGUGUGUGUGUGUGUGGGGGGUACAUCUGGGAGAACAACAGGGGACAGCAAAUCAGAGGAACAGCUGGGACAAAGAUGAAGGGUGGGGGCAGGAUUUGUGUGCAAGCAAAGAAGGAGGUGUUGACAAUGAAAAGAUCAGUUUUAGUUUCAUUCCUUCCAAGUUCCCAGCUUUCAGGAAGAACUCAUGCAAGUUAAACAGGUUGUGUGACUUGCCUAUUUCUGCUCAGGAGGACAUUAAAUAAGAUGACCUCUAUAGGAAAAAACAUGGCCAGGCAUAAAAGUUGGGAAGGGUAUAAACUUUCUUUCCCAUUGUUGUUCCCAUAUUUAUCUUUCCCUAAUUUCCAUUGUCUCACUAUUUAUAGUCUCCGUCUUCAUCUAUGCCAUUUCUUUUCAUAAGCAAGCUUUCUGUUAAUAAGCACUCUAGCACCAUCUAGCCAGCAGAGGGCAGUAUUUGGAAGCAAUGAGCAGGCACAAGCAUUACCAGGCUGAGACUGGGUUCUCUUUCUUCUAAAAUAUUUUUCCUUUCCUUUCCUUUCCUUUUACUGUACUAGAAACUACGAAAGGGACAGGCAUCUACUCCUGAAGUUGUAUCAAGUGACUCCAUCUUUCUCUUCCCUGCCAACUUUGUAAAAGAAUAAUCAUAAAUAUUUAGGAUAUAUAUUUCAACUUGGCAUCACAACAAGCCAGUUUUGGCCCAUUUUCUAAGUGAAUGUAUGCAGCACAUAGAAUGCAAAUAUGUAGAUAAUGCAAACAGAAAGUAUAAAGUGAUUCAGGCAAAACACUUAAAUUAUGCAAUGCAGUUGGGCAAGUAGAAUUAGUAUUCUACUCAGUUUUUUAAAAAAUAAUUGUAUGAGUCAUUCAUGAACUUUUCUAAUGCAUACUUUUGAGCACCUACUAAGUGCUACAUUGGAGAGACAUUUAGAUUACUGUGACCAAGUGGGAUUCUGGGUGGUGUGGACACAUGGAGGGCUGCUUCUUUGAAAAUGUGUUUUUGAAAAAAGGAAGAGAACAUUCUAAAAAGGGAAAGCAAGGAGGAAAAAAGAGGACUUCUACUCCCCCCCUAGGCACUGUGCGAGGUGUGUUCUAACAGUAUUCCUCAAGGAACAGCUAUGUUUUUGUUAGAUUAAGGUGAAUUCUCUGGAAAUUUUAAAAUGAAAUUGAUAAUACAGGGGAUUUUGCAGAUGAUAGUGUGAGGCACUAAAAGAGAUGGUUUGGGCAUGGGGAGCUGUCUUCAAGAGCAUAUAACUGUGUAGUCACUUAGAAAGGUCCCAUGCAUGUUUUAAUGUUUUGCUGAUACCAUCACAAAAAUCUCAAGCUUUGAACAAAGGGCUCUACAUUUGCCUUUUGCACUAAGCUCUGUAAUUAUAUGGCUGAAGGUCAGGGAUGUGUAGAAGUUUGGGUAAUAUAAACCUGUCUGUGGAUAAGAGUAACCAUGAUGCUCUGGGAAACCUGAAUUUCUGGUUGUGUUUAAAGAACACAGAGUUAUAAUUCCCAGUGAGAUUAGUACUGGUGGUCUUUGGGGGAAUAGUGAUUCAUCAGUCCUAGUUAGAGCUUCCUCAAGGGCAAUGAGGAGGUGCUGGGAGAAGGGAGGUCUGGAGAAAGGCAGUGUUCUGGGAGCACUCAUUCUCUGGAUCAGGAGUGGGGAAGCCCGACUUGGAGUAUAUGGAGCCCCACUGGAGUUCAAGGCUUGUGGUGCUCACUGGCUUCCUUUCUAGACUGGGGGCCAAAAAGUGGUGCAGGAUUAAAGGGAUCUUUCUGGACCUCCCUUGACUACUGCUGCAGGCAUGGUAUAUGUGGAAGAGAAGUGAGGUGGUCUUAUCACUGAUUCAUGUAGCCAAUGAAACAUUUCAAUGUUGUAAAAUAUGUUAGGCUUUUGCUUUCUGCUUCCUGAAUAUGAUGUCUGACUUAAAAACCCUUCUUCCACCUCCCUCCUAAAACUUCACAGUCUCUUUAGUUCUUCUAAAUUUUUUUAGUUUUUAUAUUUUGCCCUUAAUGUAUCUGAAAUUUUUAUUCAUGAUGCAUAAUAGGAAUCUAACUUUUUUCAAAGAAGAUUUCCGGUAUCAUAUCCUAUAUAGACAUGGGUCCAUUUUUAGAUGUUCCAUUCUGUUCCACUGAUCCGUUUUCAUUUAUGUCCGCAACUUAAUCACAUUGCUUACACGAUUACAUCUUUAGAACGUAUCUCGAUAGAAUUGUUUUCUUGACUCUUCUUACUCAUUUCUUCUUCUAGGUGAAUUUUAAAAUCAAGUUUGUCAAAUAGCAUAAAUAAUUUUACUGAUUUGCAUUGAAUCAAACGGAUAAGUUAUUUUAAGAGUAAUUAGCAUGAUUAAAAUAUGGACUCCUUCCACUCAGGAAUAUGGCAUAUAAUUUGUGUAUUUAUACUUUUAUAAAAAUUAUACAAUUUUAUAGAAAUUAUGAAUCUGCAAUCCUAAAUUCUAUCCACCUAUCCACAAUAAUUUCUUUGUUUUACCAAUAAAUCAAUUUUUUUGUAUAUUUUGUACCUUUUAUGGUCUCAUUGGCAUCUCCAUUUUCACAGACAUGUGUUUUUCAAGAAAAUUUUCAUAGAGACAGUUAAAACACAAGGAGUUGAGUGUUUGAGAUAUUUAAAACUUCAUAUUCAGAAAAUUUCUAAAUACCAGGAGCUUAAGUUCAUUCAUUAAAUCUAUGUUGUUAAAUUGAAUUAUUUUUUUUUCUUAAGGGCUAUAGAAAAUAUUUGUAAAGUUUUGCCGUAGACCCUGAAAAUGUCCACAUCAAUAUCUGCUCUAUA
rnacentral:lncRNA from 1 species